CGCCGCGUCCUGCGGCAGCGUCUUUGUGACCCCCGUCCUGGGGG
rnacentral:sRNA from 1 species